rnacentral:rRNA from 1 species
GAUGAGCGCUAGCGGCAGGCCUAAUACAUGCAAGUCGAACGGGAUCUGAGGGUAGCUUGCUACCCGAUUUGAGAGUGGCGCACGGGUGCGUAACGCGUGAGCAACCUACCCAUAUCAGGGGGAUAGCCCGGAGAAAUUCGGAUUAACACCGCAUAAGAAUGUAUUAACACAUGUUAAAGCAUUUAAAUAUUUAUAGGAUAUGGAUGGGCUCGCGUGACAUUAGCUAGUUGGUGAGGUAACGGCUCACCAAGGCGACGAUGUCUAGGGGCUCUGGGAGGAGAGUCCCCCACACUGGUACUGAGACACGGACCAGACUCCUACGGGAGGCAGCAGUAAGGAAUAUUGGUCAAUGGGCGGAAGCCUGAACCAGCCAUGCCGCGUGCAGGACGACUGCCCUAUGGGUUGUAAACUGCUUUUGUCGAGGAAUAAACCUAUCUACGUGUAGAUAGUUGAACGUACUCGAAGAAUAAGGAUCGGCUAACUCCGUGCCAGCCGCCGCGGUAA